AGCAGCCGCGGUAAUUCCAGCUCCAAUGGCGUAUAUUAAAGUUGUUGCAGUUAAAAAGCUCGUAGUUGAAUUUCGGGGUCAGCAAGUUGGUCGUGCCACCGGUAUGCACUGGCUUUGCUGAUUCCUCCUUCUUGUAGAACCGUAAUGCCAUUAAGUUGGUGUUGCGGGGAAACAGGACUGUUACUUUGAAAAAAUUAGAGUGUUUAAAGCAGGCUAAGGCUUGAAUACAUUAGCAUGGAAUAAUGAAAUAGGACGACGAUCCUAUUUUGUUGGUUUCUAGGAUUGACGUAAUGAUUAAUAGGGAUAGUUGGGGGCAUUAGUAUUCAAUUGUCAGAGGUGAAAUUCUUGGAUUUAUUGAAGACUGACUACUGCGAAAGCAUUUGCCAAGGAUGUUUUCAUUAAUCAAGAACGAAGGUUAGGGGAUCGAAGACGAUCAGAUACCGUCGUAGUCUUAACCAUAAACUAUGCCGACUAGGGAUCGGAUGAUGUUAAUUUUAUAAUGACUCA
rnacentral:rRNA from 1 species